rnacentral:rRNA from 13 species
GUACAACUCUGAGCGGUGGAUCACUCGGCUCGUGUGUCGAUGAAGAGCGCAGCCAACUGUGUGAAUUAAUGUGAACUGCAUACUGCUUUGAACAUCGACAUCUUGAACGCACAUUGCGGCCAUGGGUUUACCUGUGGCCACGCCUGUCCGAGGGUCGGCU